rnacentral:misc_RNA from 1 species
GGAUGGAUCACCUCCUUUCUAAGGAAAAGUUUUUAAAUUUUCAUCUUCAGUUUUGAAAGACUUAGUUCUUAUAAGUUUUUCCUUUUUUAAGAAAAAAAAGAAGGAGGGCCUAUAGCUCAGUUGGUUAGAGCACACGCCUGAUAAGCGUGAGGUCGAUGGUUCAAGUCCAUUUAGGCCCACCAACUGAAAAAGGUCAUCUUUCUUAUUCUUAACAAAAGUUCUUUGAAAAGUAGAUAAACAAAGUAAAAUAAUAAAAUCAAAGGAAUCAAGGGCGUACAGUGGAUGCCUUGGCACUAAGAGCCGAUGAAGGACGUAAUUAACAGCGAUAUGCCACGGUUAGUUGUAAAUAAAUGAAGAUCCGUGGAUUUCCGAAUAGGGCAACCUACUACAUUAAAAUUGUAGUUUUUUGAUUUUUUUUGUCAAAAAGGGAAACGCAGUGAACUGAAAUAUCUAAGUAACUGCAGGAAAAGAAAGUAACAACGAUUCUGGUAGUAGUGACGAGCGAAUCCGGAACAGCCUGAUACUAUUCAAACUAGUUACAAAAUUUUAAUUAACUUGAAUUUUUUGGAAAGAAAAACCAAAGGAGGUGAUAGUCCUGUAGAGGAAUAAUUAAAAUCUAGAGUAUCAAAAAGUACGGCGAGACACGAGAAAUCUUGUCGGAAGACGGGAGGACCAUCUCCCAAGGCUAAAUACUCCUUAGUGACCGAUAGUGAACUAGUACCGUGAGGGAAAGGCGAA